rnacentral:rRNA from 1 species
GGGUUGUGAGGUUAAGCGACUAAGCGUACACGGUGGAUGCCUAGGCAAUCAGAGGCGAUGAAGGACGUGCUAAUCUGCGAUAAGCGUCGGUAAGGUGAUAUGAACCGUUAUACCCGACGAUUUCCGAAUGGGGAAACCCAGUGCAAUUCGUUGCACUAUCGUUUGAUGAAUACAUAGUCAAACGAAGCGAACCGGGGGAACUGAAACAUCUCAGUACCCCGAGGAAAAGAAAUCAACCGAGAUUCCCCUAGUAGCGGCGAGCGAACGGGGAGCAGCCCAGAGUCUUAAUCAGCAUUAGUAUCAGGAGAACGGUCUGGAAAGUCCGGCAGUAAAGGGUGAUAGCCCCGUAUCUGAAGAUAUUAGUGUUGUGAACUCGACGAGUAGGGCGGGACACGUGUUAUCCUGUCUGAAUAUGGGGGGACCAUCCUCCAAGGCUAAAUACUCCUGAUUGACCGAUAGUGAACCAGUACCGUGAGGGAAAGGCGAAAAGAACCCCGGCGAGGGGAGUGAAAUAGAACCUGAAACCGUGUACGUACAAGCAGUGGGAGCCUUGAUUUAUCAGGGUGACUGCGUACCUUUUGUAUAAUGGGUCAGCGACUUAUAUUCUGUAGCAAGGUUAACCGUAUAGGGGAGCCGUAGGGAAACCGAGUCUUAACUGGGCGAAUGAGUUGCAGGGUAUAGACCCGAAACCCGGUGAUCUAGCCAUGGGCAGGUUGAAGGUUGGGUAACACUAACUGGAGGACCGAACCGACUAAUGUUGAAAAAUUAGCGGAUGACUUGUGGCUGGGGGUGAAAGGCCAAUCAAACCGGGAGAUAGCUGGUUCUCCCCGAAAGCUAUUUAGGUAGCGCCUCGUGAACUCAUCUUCGGGGGUAGAGCACUGUUUCGACUAGGGGGUCAUCCCGACUUACCAACUCGAUGCAAACUACGAAUACCGAAGAAUGUUAUCACGGGAGACACACGGCGGGUGCUAACGUUCGUCGUGAAGAGGGAAACAACCCAGACCGCCAGCUAAGGUCCCAAAGUCAUAGUUAAGUGGGAAACGAAGUGGGAAGGCUCAGACAGCCAGGAUGUUGGCUUAGAAGCAGCCAUCAUUUAAAGAAAGCGUAAUAGCUCACUGGUCGAGUCGGCCUGCGCGGAAGAUGUAACGGGGCUAAACUAUGCACCGAAGCUGCGGCAGCGAUAUGUAAAUAUUGUUGGGUAGGGGAGCGUUCUGUAAGCCUGUGAAGGUGUACUGUGAGGUAUGCUGGAGGUAUCAGAAGUGCGAAUGCUGACAUAAGUAACGAUAAUGCGGGUGAAAAACCCGCACGCCGGAAGACCAAGGGUUCCUGUCCAACGUUAAUCGGGGCAGGGUGAGUCGACCCCUAAGGCGAGGCAGAAAUGCGUAGUCGAUGGGAAACGGGUUAAUAUUCCCGUACUGGUGAUAAUUGCGAUGGGGGGACGGAGAAGGCUAGGCUGGCCGGGCGACGGUUGUCCCGGUUUAAGGAUGUAGGCAGGUGAAUUAGGCAAAUCCGGUUCACUAUAUGCUGAGGUCUGAUGACGAGUCACUACGGUGGCGAAGUAGCUCAUGCCCCGCUUCCAGGAAAAGCCUCUAAGCUCUAGAUUAUCA